CCUACGGGAGGCAGCAGUGAGGAAUAUUGGUCAAUGGCCGGAAGGCUGAACCAGCCAUGCCGCGUGAAGGUCAGUGCCCUAUGGGCGUUAAACUUCUUUUGUGCGGGAGCAAUAAUGGUCACGUGUGGCCAGACGAGAGUACCGUACGAAUAAGCAUCGGCUAACUCCGUGCCAGCAGCCGCGGUAAUACGGGGGAUGCAAGCGUUAUCCGGAUUUAUUGGGUUUAAAGGGUGCGUAGGCUGUGAGGUAAGUCAGCGGUGAAAUGCCCCCGCUCAACGGGGUGAAGUGCCAUUGAUACUGCCUGGCUUGAAUGCGGAUGCCGUGGGAGGAAUGUGUGGUGUAGCGGUGAAAUGCAUAGAUAUCACACAGAACACCGAUUGCGAAGGCAUCUCACGAAUCCGCGAUUGACGCUGAUGCACGAAAGCGUGGGUAUCAAACAGGAUUAGAUACCCGGGUAGUC
rnacentral:rRNA from 1 species